GUGCCAGCAGCCGCGGUAAUACGUAGGAUCCGAGCGUUGUCCGGAUUUACUGGGUGUAAAGGGCGUGUAGGUGGAUUGGCAAGUCGGUGGUGAAAGCCUGCGGCUCAACCGCAGAAUUGCCCUCGAUACUACCAAUCUUGAGUACGGCAGAGGGAGAUGGAAUUCAUGGUGUAGCGGUGAAAUGUGUAGAUAUCAUGAAGAACACCGGUAGCGAAGGCGGUCUCCUGGUCCGUUACUGACACUGAGGCGCGAAAGCGUGGGGAGCAAACAGGAUUAGAAACCCCUGUAGUCC
rnacentral:rRNA from 1 species